GAUGAACGCUAGCUACAGGCUUAACACAUGCAAGUCGAGGGGUAACGAGAGGAAAGCUUGCUUUCCUUGUCGACGACCGGCGCACGGGUGAGUAACGCGUAUCCAACCUGCCCCCAACUAGGGAAUAACCUUGCGAAAGUAAGACUAAUACCCUAUAAUUACCUCAGAUGUCAUCUGACGAGGAAUAAAGAUUUAUCGGUUGUGGAUGGGGAUGCGUCUGAUUAGCUUGUUGGCGGGGUAACGGCCCACCAAGGCAACGAUCAGUAGGGGUUCUGAGAGGAAGGUCCCCCACAUUGGGACUGAGACACGGUCCAAACUCCUACGGGAGGCAGCAGUGAGGAAUAUUGGUCAAUGGGCGGAAGCCUGAGCCAGCCAAGUAGCGUGCAGGAUGACGGCCCUAUGGGUUGUAAACUGCUUUUAUACAGGAAUAAAGUUAGCCACGUGUGGUUAUUUGUAGGUACUGUAUGAAUAAGGACCGGCUAAUUCCGUGCCAGCCGCCGCGGUAA
rnacentral:rRNA from 1 species